rnacentral:rRNA from 1 species
GGUUGUAGCUGGCCUUUUACGAGGCAUGUGCACACCCCACUCAUCCACUCAACACCUGUGCACACUAUGUAGGUUUAGAUGARCAUCGGGGCUUCAGCUUCGGUGGGAGUCUGACCUAUGUCUUUAUAAACUCUGUUUAGUAAAUGAAUGUAAUUGCGAUAAACGCAUUUUAUACAACUUUCAGCAACGGAUCUCUUGGCUCUCGCAUCGAUGAAGAACGCAGCGAAAUGCGAUAAGUAAUGUGAAUUGCAGAAUUCAGUGAAUCAUYGAAUCUUUGAACGCACCUUGCGCCCCUUGGUAUUCCGAGGGGCACACCUGUUUGAGUGUCGUGAAAUUCUCAACUCAAAUACCUUUGCUGGUGUYUGAGCUUGGAUUUGGGGGUUUUGCUGGCUUGUGUCGGCUCCCCUUGAAUGUAUUAGCUCGGACCCUUGCGGAUCAGCUAUCGGUGUGAUAAUUGUCUACGCCGUGGUUGUGAUGCCACCUUUUAGGUGUUGAGGGAUCGGCUUCCAAUCGUCCCUUGGGACAAUUAUUUUGAAAUCUGACCUCAAAUCAGGUGGGACUACCCGCUGAACUUAAGCAUAUCAAUAAGCGGAGGAAAAGAAACUAACAAGGAUUCCCCUAGUAACUGCGAGUGAAGCGGGAAAAGCUCAAAUUUAAAAUCUGGCGGUCUUUGGCCGUCCGAGUUGUAGUCUGGAGAAGUGCUUUCCGCGCUGGACCGUGUAUAAGUCUCCUGGAACGGAGYGUCAUAGAGGGUGAGAAUCCCGUCUUUGACACGGACUACCAGUGCUCUGUGAUGCGCUCUCAAAGAGUCGAGUUGUUUGGGAAUGCAGCUCAAAAUGGGUGGUGAAUUCCAUCUAAAGCUAAAUAUUGGCGAGAGACCGAUAGCGAACAAGUACCGUGAGGGAAAGAUGAAAAGCACUUUGGAAAGAGAGUUAAACAGUACGUGAAAUUGCUGAAAGGGAAACGCUUGAAGUCAGUCGCGUCGGCCGGAACUCAGCCUUGCUUUUGCUUGGUGUACUUUCCGGUUGACGGGCCAGCAUCGAUUUUGACCGUUGGAAAAAGGCAGGGGGAAUGUGGCACCUUCGGGUGUGUUAUAGCCCCUUGUUGCAUACAACGGUUGGGAUCGAGGAACGCAGCACGCCUUAUGGCUGGGGUUCGCCCACAUUCGUGCUUAGGAUGCUGGCGUAAUGGCUUUAAACGACCCGUCUUGAAACACGGACCAAGGAGUCUAACAUGCCUGCGAGUGUUUGGGUGGAAAACCCGAGCGCGUAAUGAAAGUGAAGAUCGGGACUUCUGUCAUGGAAGGCACCGAUGCCCGGACCUGACGUUCUCUGACGGCUCCGCGGUAGAGCAUGUAUGUUGGGACCCGAAAGAUGGUGAACUAUGCCUGAAUAGGGUGAAGCCAGAGGAAACUCUGGUGGAGGCUCGUAGCGAUUCUGACGUGCAAAUCGAUCGUCAAAUUUGGGUAUAGGGGCGAAAGACUAAUCGAACCAUCUA